rnacentral:rRNA from 1 species
UGCCAGCCGCCGCGGUAAUACGGAGGGUGCGAGCGUUAAUCGGAAUUACUGGGCGUAAAGAGCGCGUAGGCGGUUACUUAAGUGGGAUGUGAAAGCCCCGGGCUUAACCUGGGAACUGCAUCCCAAACUGGGUAACUAGAGUGCGAUAGAGGGGGGUGGAAUUUCAGGUGUAGCGGUGAAAUGCGUAGAGAUCUGAAGGAACAUCAGUGGCGAAGGCGGCCCCCUGGAUUGACACUGACGCUGAGGCGCGAAAGCGUGGGUAGCAAACAGGAUUAGAUA